GACGAACGCUGGCGGCGUGCCUAAUACAUGCAAGUAGAACGCACAGUUUAUACCGUAGCUUGCUACACCAUAGACUGUGAGUUGCGAACGGGUGAGUAACGCGUAGGUAACCUGCCUGGUAGCGGGGGAUAACUAUUGGAAACGAUAGCUAAUACCGCAUAAUAUUGAUUAUUGCAUGAUAAUUGAUUGAAAGAUGCUAUUGCAUCACUACCAGAUGGACCUGCGUUGUAUUAGCUAGUAGGUGAGGUAACGGCUCACCUAGGCGACGAUACAUAGCCGACCUGAGAGGGUGGUCGGCCACACGGGGACGGCGACACGGCCCAGACUCCUACAGGAGGCAGCAGUAGGGAAUCUUCGGCAAUGGACGAAAGUCUGACCGAGCAACGCCGCGUGAGUGAAGAAGGUUUUCGGAUCGUAAAGCUCUGUUGUAAGAGAAGAACGGGUGUGAGAGCGGAAAGUUCACACUGUGACGGUAUCUUACCAGAAAGGGACGGCUAACUACGUG
rnacentral:rRNA from 1 species